UUCAGAUGAAGAUGUAGAACUCUCAGCUCCUCCCGCACUAUGCCUGUCUGGAUGCUGCCAUGCUCUUGCCUUGAUGGUAAUGGAUACAAUUGUCCUUUUCUGUCUGUGAUUCCUGGCUACCAUGAGGAUGGAACACCAUAGUCUGAGCUGCUUCUCUUGCUAUGCCCUCCCCACCAGGAUGGACUGGAAACUUUGCAGAAAGAUGGAACUUGGGUCUUGUAUUCUAGAAAAAGACUCUACCAUUGAUCUAUAUCCCAGGAUCAUAGAGCUCAAGUUUCUUGUCUCUGCAUGCUGAGUGCUGGUGGUCAUCACAUGUGUCACCAUACCAUGUUUAAGACUACCCCUGCUUCAGUGCUGCAAACUCAGAGGUGUGCUGUGGAAAACACGACAACUGAUAUAUCAAACUUAGGCCAAGAAGCUAUAUAUAGCUAUGUACAUAAAGGUCAAGAAAGGACACUGGUUCUGGAUUCCAUGGGAAAAAAGUCACUUGACAACAAGAAGGCAAGCAUAUGACAUCAUUCCAUUUGCACAAAGUUCAAAACCAGGCAAAACUCGCCUCUAUGUUGAUGCAAGGAAGGAUGGUGUUCGUUUUCUUGCAAGCAGGGAGUGACCAGUGACCAAAAGGCAGGAGAGCUCCCAGAGUACUCCUGGUUUUACAGGUGUUGGCUUUUGACUAUUCUCUAGUUGGAGAAUUUGGUCUCCUGCCAAGUGAGCCUCCCGUGAAAGACAAUGAGUCAUGUGUCAAGUCACUGCCUGAAUGAGCCUUGGGGAAGAAGUUGUAUCUAGAGGUGUUAAGUAGUGAAGAAGCCAUGGGUCUCCUGCAAGUCAAGGAAAGAGCUAUGAGGUGCUGUUGUGUCUUCAAACCCCAUUACAAGAACAUCAAACACUGAACGAUCUAAGUCAUAAAACUGACAAGAUGAGUGGAUGAGUACUACCAGCCGGGGUGCAUCACAAACACUCUUACUCCAUACAGAUUCACCAUGAAAGUCUUUAGUUCGGUGGUUAUUAAUUUCAGAGAUUUCUUAAACACCCUUUUCUCAAAAUAUUGUAUUCACACAUUUUUGCUUAAUAGUUUUACAGGUUUCACUGAGCUGCUAAACAGCCUGUAGGUAUGAUGCAAUGUAAACAAUUAAAAGAUGCAACUAUUUCACCUACCAGCUUACAACUUAAAGGAAAGAAGAGCAUGCCAAACAAGAGUGUGUCAUAAUGGAAGGCAUACAGUGAAAUGGCAAAACGUAUAUGCAAGCUGAUUACAUAGAUGUGUCAAGGAGAUACACAUUAACUGAACUUGCUUGAGUUACUUUAGAAGUUCCUUUCCUUAUAUGCUUAUAAGUGAGCGCCCUGGGGAAUGCAUAUAUGAUUGCCAUCUAAGUCAACUGAGGCUUCUGCAGAACUGCUGCUGUGUUGGACAGAGCAAGCAUCAAAUGUUUGUGACAAGAUUGAGGUUGGUGGGGAUGCCACUGCAAAGCCUUUUAAAGGAGUCUCCAUUAAAGUUUGGAAAGAGAUUUAACAGUUGGAAAGACACAACAUUAAUAUGACAGGAACCACAACCAAUAGAAAAGGACCAGUAGUAAACAUGGUGACUCUUUGGAAUUGAGUGUUUUUGGCAUUUAUUGAAACUUUAGGAGCACAUAGGAGCAUGCAAACACAUAGGUAAUAAAUCUACUUGAAAG